rnacentral:rRNA from 1 species
CCCUUAGAUGUCCUGGGCUGCACGCGCGCUACACUGAUGUGUCCAGUAAGCACCUAACCUCUUCCGAAAGGAACGGGUAACCUUUGCAAAGCACAUCGUGAUGGGGAUAGAUUAUUGCAAUUAUUAGUCUUGAACGAGGAAUUCCUAGUAAGCACAAGUCAUCAGCUUGUGUUGAUUACGUCCCUGCCCUUUGUACACACCGCCCGUCGCUCCUACCGAUUGAAUGUUCCGGUGAGCUCUUCGGACUGCGCGGUCUGCAGUUUCUGCGUUCCGUGCGGAAAGUUGCGCAAACCUUAACGUUUAGAGGAAGGAGAAGUCGUAACA